GUGCAGGCAGUUAUCCCUUUCCAGUCUCCUUUCUGUGGCUCUAGAGGGAGUCAGCCUGCAACAUGAAGCUCUGGAAAGCUGUGGGCUAGACCUAUGUAUGCAUAUAGUUUUUCAACCAGCUUUCAAUACAAGA
rnacentral:snoRNA from 1 species